UACGUAGGGAGCAAGCGUUGUCCGGAAUCAUUGGGCGUAAAGCGCGCGUAGGUUGCCCGGUAAGUCCGCUCUGAAAGUCACAGGCUCAACCUGUGAAAGCGGGUGGAUACUGCCGGGCUAGAGUCCGGAAGAGGCGAGUGGAAUUCCUGGUGUAGCGGUGGAAUGCGCAGAUAUCAGGAGGAACACCAACGGCGAAGGCAGCUCGCUGGGACGGUACUGACACUGAGGCGCGAAAGCGUGGGGAGCGAACAGG
rnacentral:rRNA from 1 species